UCUAAGUGGAGUUAUGAUUUCUGUGUCUAACAUUGACUGUCCAUUUGUUUGAAAUAUUUUAUGAUUACUAUUUUUAUUAUUGUUAGAUGAUAAAAUAUAAAUAAUAUUUUAUGUGUAUCUUAUUUCUUUACUUUUUAUAAAUAUUUUAAAUAAAACAUACGCUUAAACAUUAGGCAUCAUAAUCAACUACUGCAUUUAAA
rnacentral:pre_miRNA from 1 species